GACGAACGCUGGCGGCGUGCUUAACACAUGCAAGUCGAACGAAGUGGCGAACGGGUGAGUAAUACGUGAGUAACCGGCCCUCCUUUUUGGGAUAAGCCUUGGAAACGGGGUCUAAUACGGAAUAAAGGGGGAUGGGUUCGCGGACUAUCAGGUUGGUGGUGGGGUGAGAGCCUACCAGGGCGGUGACGGGGAGCCGGCCUGAGAGGGUGAACUGCCACCUUGGCACUGAUCUACAGCCCAGACUGAUACGGUAGGCGGCAGUGGUGUAUAAUGCGCGAUGGGCGAAAGCCUGAUGCCGCGACGCCGCGUGGGGGAUGAAGGCUUUCGGUUUGUAAACCUCUUUCGCUAUCGAACGGUUAGGUGGAGAAGAAGCGCCGGCUAACUCCGUGCCAGCAGCCGCGGUAAUUC
rnacentral:rRNA from 1 species